UUCGGGACGCUGGCGAGUGGCGAACGGGUGAGUAACACGUGGAGACCUACCCUGGGGUGGGGGAUAACAACUAGAAAUGGUUGCUAAUACCGCAUACGCCUUACGAGGGAAAGAUUUAUUGCCCUGGGAGGGUUCCGCGUCGGAUUAGCUUGUUGGUGGGGUAACGGCCUACCAAGGCGACGAUCCGUAGCUGGUCUUAGAGGAUGAUCAGCCACACUGGGACUGAGACACGGCCCAGACUCCUACGGGAGGCAGCAGUGGGGAAUAUUGCGCAAUGGAGGCAACUCUGACGCAGCGAUGCCGCGUGGGUGAAUAAGGCCUUAGGGUUGUAAAGCCCUUUCAGUGGGGACGAUGAUGACGGUACCCACAGAAGAAGCCCCGGCUAACUCCGUGCCAGCAGCCGCGGUAAUACGGAGGGGGCGAGCGUUGU
rnacentral:rRNA from 1 species